rnacentral:tRNA from 1 species
GGGGAUUUAGCUCAGCGGUAGAGCACUUGCCUAGCAAGCGCAAGGCCCUGGGUUCAAUCCCCAGCUCCCA